AUUGAACGCUGGCGGCAGGCCUAACACAUGCAAGUCGAGCGAGCGGCGGACGGGCGAGCAAGGGAUGGGGAUCUGGCCGAUCGAGGGGGAUAACUACUGGAAACGGUGGCUAAUACCGCAUACUAUGCGAUGAGCCCACAUGGGAUUAGGUAGUAGGUGGGGUAAAGGCUCACCUAGGCGACGAUCCCUAGCUGGCCUGAGAGGAGGAUCGGCCAAACGGGGACGGAGACACGGCCCAGACGCCUACGGGAGGCAGCAGUGGGGAAUAUUGGACAAUGGGCGCAAGCCUGAUGCAGCCAUGCCGCGUGUAUGAAGAAGGCCUUAGGGUUGUAAAGUACUUUCAGCGGGGAGGCGUUACCCGCAGAAGAAGCACCGGCUAACUCCGUGCCAGCAGCCGCGGUAAUAC
rnacentral:rRNA from 1 species